GUUUUUGCAAUUUCUCAUUGAUUCCAUCGUAACUGUGGUAACAAACUCUAUGGUUUUCUAAGUGAAAGGAUCCAUAAUUGUGUUCUUCGUGAAGCCCCUUUUCAGCAUUCUCCUGGUCACUCUAUCCCUACUGCUGAUCGUUUUGUCUCCUUCAAUCCUAUUUCCUGAAAGAUCACUUACACGGAAUCCACUACUUGGAAAACAGGAUAGUGUUCAAAGGGCACUAGAGUGGAGACCCUGCAAAUGUUUGAUGGAAGGAGGCUCUAUUGCUUGUCCUGCGGAAAGUAAUGGAUAUAUCAGAGUGGAUUGUUUUGGGGGGCUUAAUCAAAUG